ensembl:lncRNA
CAUCCAUCUAUCACACGUGUAGACAAAGGGGGACUCCACAACACAAAGCUAGAUGUGCCCUCUCAAACUUUUUUCCCCCCCUACAACCGACAGCAGCGCGCGCACAGGAAGCCGACUGCCCAGGUGGGAAUUUAAGCAAUUUAACCGGUACAGUGCUUGCUUCUGAUGGAUUAAGAAAAUAAAAAAAGAUGUGUAGAAAAAAAAACACAUGGAAGAUGUACAGAUUCACCUAUCAAGCUAUUUUUAAGAUGAAAUGAAGGAUUAAGAGACUGUUCACUUUUCUUCUGGAUGAACAUGAAGACUUAUCUUAUGAGGAUUUAGACUUCAGCAGCAGCAGCGCCAGUCGGAUUGUGUUUUAGGCACACUUGGAAAUCUAAACCUCAUGGAGAUACUUUGAGGAUUAUAAAAGAUGUGCAUGUAGAAUGCCACAAUACAAGACGCGUCCUGGGCCAAAGUCCUUGGGAUAGCAGGAUAUUGCUUUCCUGAUCCUUCUCAGCCCUCAGCAUGGGGAGUGUGGGAGUGGUGAGGUCUGGGAGAUCACGACCUUAAUUCUCUCCAAGACAGACGGUUUAAUUAACACUGGAAGAAUCCUCACUGACUCCAGACCUCUACAGUGAGAAUGUACAGGGGAAUUGGCUUGCCAAGGUCCUCUUGGCCAUAGACUGAAAUGCUGACAGACGAUGCCCAUGAAUGAUGAAUGAUGACUGGAGGUCUGUCUGGUGCCAGCAGAAUGCAUAAUACAGCAUCGAUACAGCAAUCGCAGUCCUCCUCAGCAGAAACAUGGUGCGGUUUCUGUAUCACAUUAUUGGAAGAUUUGCCCCAAGCAGGACAGCAGGACCACUCAAAGUGGAAAUCAACCGCAAUGUUGAAUGUUGUUUUGGGUUGGAGUCCUAAAUGAAGCAGCAUUACAAAGAGUUUUCUGGUGUGUCAGAGUGAGGCUCAGUGGGAAAGAUUGCUGUGUCUAGACAGGAGUGUGAGGUUUUGCCUGAAAACUUUUGGACCAACACAACCUGGGAAAGGUUAAGAUGAACAAAAGAGACUGCAACAGAAAGUGGAUAGAGAGUCAGUAACACCACAGCAGGAGGUGAAAGGAGGAGACCUGCAGGCAGGAAGAGAGAGGAGAGGGAAACUGUGCAAAAGUACAGCACAGAAUCGUGCCUCACAUCAGAUGGCAGCAAUGCAAAAAUGUGUGACACUGCAAAAUGAAGGCAAAGGAGAGAAAAAAAAAACAUCUGUGUGCGAUAGGGUUUAAAUCCAAUAACUGCAUGCAUGUAUGGAUCCGAGUCAUUGUUCAAAUAUUUGAGCCUUUGUGUGUGCGUGUGUGUGUGCAUGUGCACUUGCACAAUGAAUGGGGUGCCAGGCGGCAGCAGCUGGGAAUGCCUUCCUCUGUUCUCCUGUCAUCAAUAAAUGAUCAGAGUGGGCCAUCUGGAGAGAGGGAACCACCAACCACCAGGACCUGGCACUGAACGAAUGACACAGAGAAAGAAAAAGAAUGUGAGGAUAGAUCAGUGAACAGUAAGAGUAAGAGCAAGAUGGGACAGGAAGGGGGAAGUUACAUUUAAAGAACACUGGGGAGGCAAUUAAAAAGAUGAUGUGAAAAAGACCCUACAAUAUACUGGUGGAGCUCAAAAGAAAAUAGAAUAUUGUGAAAAGUUGUUUUUUCAUGAUUUAAUUCAAAAAGGCAUCAUCUCCGAUAUUCUUUUGUUUAUAUUUUUAUGAUUAUGGCUUAUAGCUCACGAAAAUCAGAAAUCAAGCAUCUUAUGUAAUUAGAAUAUUUCCAAACGGCAAUCAAAAAAAGGAUUUACUAUACUUCUGAGUAUGCUUUUUAUUCUACAGUACUUGAUUGGGUUUCUUUUACCAUGAAUUACUGGAUCAGUGCAGUGUGAUGCAGAGGCAUUCAGCUUGUGGUGUUGCUAAAAGCCAGGUUGCUUUGAUAACAGUCUUCAGCUCAUCUGUACUUUUGGGCUGAGUAUUUCACAUCUUACUCUUGUCAGUACCCUAUAAAUUGUCUGUAGGGUUCAGUCAGCUGAUCAAUUAAGCACAUUACAAUAAAAUUCACAUGACAAUAACUUGGUAAGCAAACCAUUUGGAAGUAGUUUUGGCACUGUUUGCAGGUGGUAGGUUUAAUCAAAAAGGAAACCGGCAUCGCCAUAAAGCUUUUCAACAGAUGGAAUCGUGACCUGAUCUCCUGGUAGACAGCUGUGUUGACUUUGGAUUUGAUGAAACAGAGUGAACCAACCACCACCAACACCAGCAGAUGACAUGGCACAAUAAAUCCUAACAGACUGCACAAACUUUACACUGGCAUUUCAACACUUACAUCUGUGUCUCUCUAGACUCUAGGAUCUUGAUUUUCAAAUGAAAUCAAAUUUACUUUCAUUUGAAACGAGGACUUUGGACCAUUAAGCCACAGUUUAGUUCUUUUUUUCCUUAGUCCAGCUAAGAUACUCCUGACACUGUCUGUGGUUCUGGAGUCUUUUGCCAUUACUUUUGCAACACUUGAAAGUGGCUGUGCAUGGUGGCUGUUGAUGUAUUGCAACCACCUGGGAUUCCUCUGGCCCGCCAGUAACCCCUUCACUUCCUGCCUGCUGAGAGAAAUAUCCAAGAAGAGCUCAGACUCCACUCCUCAAUUAUCAGCCAACUUUUACUACUGUAUACUUACCCCUGACCAUCACUAACCCCCCAUUUACUCUGCAGCAGAGCUUCCUGUUCAUUCCUGUAGAAAGAUACUCACUGGAGCACUUACCUUUUUCAGACUCCUGUUUUUUUUUUUUCAUUCCAAGUAGUUCUUAAAACUGUUGCUGUUCACAAGCAAAACGUGCUGUAAUGUGACUCGACAAAUUUGCACCUAGACAAAAAGAGUAAACUUCGACCACAUGUGCCAGAAGAAAAAUGCAGUUGUUUGUAGAGAUCGAAAGAACUCACACUUUUGCAUACUCAGAUACUACAUUUGACAUAAUACAUACAUAAUAUGACAUUUUCAGAGACAGAAAAUAUGCAAAGAAUAUGCAUAAAAUAAUUAGUUAAUUAAAAGUAAUUUUUUAAUGUAUUUAUUUUCACUUUUUUUUGUGACUGGAGUUAGGAGUGCCAUGGUCCUGAGUCUUUGACUUAGUAUUUUGAGUUUUAUACCCACCUGUUUCUUGGAAAGUUAUAAGAUAAUGUAAGUUCUUGUUCCUGAAUAUAUUAUGUUCUAGUGCCUCUGAGUUUGUUAUUUAAAUUUCUUGAAUUCUAGUUUCAUUAUUUUGUCUGUCUCUUAUAUGUGGUCUCUGAGUCUCUGUUUGUUUACCUCUGGUCUACCCAGUUGUGUCUCAGUGGCUGUCUGGUCUCUCUGUGUUCUGUCUCAUUUUUAGAAAAUCUUACUAAAUAAUAUUUAAAAAGCCAUGCUAUCCAAGCAUUAUGACAUUUGAAUUGAAGGAGAGUUAAUAAUUAAUCACUUAAUGGUGGAAGUAGUAUACAUUUAUCACUCUUUACAGUAGCUUAGUACAGCUCAGUACAGUACACUAUGCUGGAAGAACAUGAUAAAUAUUCAUAACAAUAGAUCCUGUUUGUAGGCUUGCAUUAGAAUCACAUGACUUUCUUUUUCUCACACUCACUGACAGUUUUCUAAAAUAUUCUAAUAUGCUGAAACUUGUAUCAGUUUUUGUUAUGUAUGUGCUACAUUUUAUUAUUAAGUAAGUUAUAAAGCUUCACAUAUACAUAUGUACACUUUUGUCUGCUAUACCCACUGGACCGCCAUACUAUUAUAAGCAGGCCCCUUUUAUUUUAACGUAAACCACAAAAGCAAAACCAUUCAUUAGCAGUCUUGCUAUCAUCCCCACAAACGUCUGUGGCCAUUUCAUUAUGUGAGCUAUAUUUUGAGCGUUUAUUUAAGAAAGCAGUUUAAUUCAUAUGUCAUAUUAAAUCAUAUUUUAUAUAUGUUACAUAUUAUAUACUAUUUAAUCUUUGUUUUAUGUACAUGAUAGUACUUGUCAUAAGCACACAUGAUGAGACCAGACAAAUAAUUAUUUUUUAAUAUUGUCCCCUACAUCAUUAGCUUAACAUGAUAAUUUUACAGUAGGCUACCUCUUAGGAAUUCAUAUCUAGCAUCCCCAAGCAAUAUGAAGCACUCUCUCUAAAUUUGUGUCUGCGUUCUUCUGUGUUUACAUGUAUGUCUAAAUGCAGCCCUAAUUUACAUUUGCAUGGUCAUUUCGGAUUUAAUUUGCCUCACUGUGUGACUAAUUUGUGCUCCAAUAAGUAGCAUAUGCCCCAGGCCAUAUAACCUAGACAUUGCAUGGUUUUAAAUGAGCUUUUAUAAUCCUUAGAGGCUAUAAAUAUGUCCAGUGAUUAGAUAUUUUAGUAAACUAACCUAUUAGAAUUGGUAUAAAAAAGCCAAGUAUAUGGUAAGCCACACAGCACACAACAGACUGGCUAAUUUUUAAUGUUAAAAUGUUAAAUACUGUAAGCAGAACUGGACAUAAACAAAGUAGGUACCAUAUUCAUAUUGCCUCUUCUUGGUAGCACUUUUCCUUUGUUUAAAACCCUUUUAUACAAUUUCUACUAAACUUUUUUCUCCAAGUGUUUUUAACACUUUCCAAUAAAUUUUUACCUAUUAGAUUUUUUUAAAUUUCAUGUAUUAUAAUAUCACAGUUGUUACUAUUUUC